rnacentral:rRNA from 1 species
AUUGAACGCUGGCGGCAGGCCUAACACAUGCAAGUCGAACGAGUGGCGGACGGGUGUGUAAUGUCUGGGAAACUGCCUGAUGGAGGGGGAUCACUACUGGAAACGGUAGCUUAUACCGCAUUCCAUCAGAUGUGCCCAGAUGGGAUUAGCGUGGGGGUGGGGUAACGGCUCACCAAGGCGACGAUGCCUAGCAGGUCUGAGAGGAUGACCAGCCACACUGGAACUGAGACACGGUCCAGACUCCUACGGGAGGCAGCAGUAGGGAAUCUUGCGCAAUGGGCGCAAGCCUGAUGGAGCAAUGCCGCGUGAAUGAAGAAGGCCUUCGGAUUGUAAAGUACUUUUAGUGGGGAGGCGUUACCCGCACAAGAAGCACCGGCUAACUCCGUGCCAGCCGCCGCGGUAAUAC